UACGUAGGGGGCAAGCGUUGUCCGGAAUCAUUGGGCGUAAAGAGCGUGUAGGCGGUUUGUCGCGUCUGCUGUGAAAUCUCAAGGCUCAACCUUGAGCUUGCAGUGGGUACGGGCAGACUAGAGUGUGGUAGGGGAGACUGGAAUUCCUGGUGUAGCGGUGAAAUGCGCAGAUAUCAGGAGGAACACCGAUGGCGAAGGCAGGUCUCUGGGCCACUACUGACGCUG
rnacentral:rRNA from 1 species